UGGGGAAUAUUGCGCAAUGGAGGAAACUCUGACGCAGCGACGCCGCGUGGGUGAUGAAGGCCUUCGGGUUGUAAAGCCCUGUCGGCUGGGAAAAAGGUAGUCGUGCUAAUACCACGAUUGCUUGAUGGUACCAGCAAAGGAAGCACCGGCUAACCCUGUGCCAGCAGCCGCGGUAAUACAGGGGGUGCAAGCGUUGUUCGGAAUUACUGGGCGUAAAGGGCGCGUAGGCGGCCUAACAAGUCAGGUGUGAAAGCCCGGGGCUCAACUCCGGAAGUGCAUUUGAAACUGUUAGGCUAGAGUACAGUAGAGGUUGGUGGAAUUCCCAGUGUAGAGGUGAAAUUCGUAGAUAUUGGGAGGAACACCAGUGGCGAAGGCGGCCAACUGGGCUGUAACUGACGCUGAGGCGCGAAAGCGUGGGGAGCAAACAG
rnacentral:rRNA from 1 species